rnacentral:rRNA from 1 species
CCCGGCGCACGGGUGAGUAACACGUAUGCAAUCCACCUGUAACAGGGGAGUAACCCGGAGAAAUCCGGACUAAUACCCCAUAAUAUGGGCGCUCCGCAUGGAGAGUUCAUUAAAGAGAGCAAUUUUGGUUACAGACGAGCAUGCGCUCCAUUAGCCAGUUGGCGGGGUAACGGCCCACCAAGGCGACGAUGGAUAGGGGUUCUGAGAGGAAGGUCCCCCACAUUGGAACUGAGACACGGUCCAA